AUACUUACUUGGCAUCAGAGACCCCGAUCACGCAGAUGGGACGCCCAGGGCGUGGUUCAGCCAUUGUGCCACAGCUGUGCUGCUCCCAGUGAACUUCCUAGAUGCUGGGAUUUUGUCGGAUUCAUUUCUGGUAGCGGGGGGACUGUGUUCACGUUCUUCCA